AGAUCCGUACAAGUCUUGGUCCGCCCCUUGCCACAAUGGAUUUCCUGACCCUUUAUGUUUGGUUUCUAUCGCAGCUCCUGGCCAUUCGUCUUAUUAACACGCCGUACAUUCUCCUCACUCUCCUGUGUCGAGCUUUUUUUUUCUUCGCUUGCAAGUUCGGGGUUGAUAAUUUCAUCGAGUACAUCAUUCAGCCCCCUCCUCCCAUACAAGUGACGUUCCAGAACCGAUUAUUUUCAACGAACGCUGUUCUGAUGCUGGGGCCACCGCGGGUGAUGCCGUUUGUCAUCAUCCCACCUGGGGGGCUGAGGCCGCCACCAAUCCCGCCCCCACCCCGACCCAGACAGCCGGUACCGCCUCCGUUCACGCGAAGGCCUCAUGUACGGACUACCAAGUCAUAAUUAGACGUAGGCGUAUGGUUCAGCUUUAGGGGAGUACUGUCAUCGAAGAGGUUUGUUUAUUGAUACAGAGAAAUGGUGUCCUUUUGGGUGUUGCGGCAAUUAUGACUAUGAGUACUGCUGCAUUGGCAAUGUUGGAUACAUCGUAGGAAUUGUUUAUCGCCGGCC